rnacentral:rRNA from 1 species
AUUGAACGCUGGCGGCAGGCCUAACACAUGCAAGUCGAGCGGAUGAAGGGAGCUUGCUCCUGGAUUCAGCGGCGGACGGGCGAGUAAUGCCUAGGAAUCUGCCCGGUAGUGGGGGAUAACGUCCGGUAACGGGCGCUAAUAUCGCAUACGUCCUGAGGGAGAAAGUGGGGGUUCUUCGGACCUCACGCUAUCAGAUGAGCCUAGGUCGGAUUAGCUAGUUGGUGGGGUAAAGGCCUACCAAGGCGACGAUCCGUAGCUGGUCUGAGAGGAUGAUCAGUCACACUGGAACUGAGACACGGUCCAGACUCCUACGGGAGGCAGCAGUGGGGAAUAUUGCACAAUGGGCGAAAGCCUGAUCCAGCCAUGCCGCGUGUGUGAUGAAGGUCUUCGGAUUGUAAAACACUUUAAGUUGGGAGGAAGAGCAGUAAAUUAAUACCUUGCUGUUUUGACGUUACCUACAGAAUAAGCACCGGCUAACUUCGUG